rnacentral:rRNA from 1 species
AGAGUUUGAUCCUGGCUCAGAUUGAACGCUGGCGGCAUGCCUUACACAUGCAAGUCGAACGGCAGCGCGGGGCAACCUGGCGGCGAGUGGCGAACGGGUGAGUAAUAUAUCGGAACAUACCCUAGAGUGGGGGAUAACGUAGCGAAAGUUACGCUAAUACCGCAUACGAUCUAAGGAUGAAAGUGGGGGAUCGCAAGACCUCAUGCUCAUGGAGUGGCCGAUAUCUGAUUAGCUAGUUGGUAGGGUAAAAGCCUACCAAGGCGACGAUCAGUAGCUGGUUUGAGAGAACGACCAGCCACACUGGAACUGAGACACGGUCCAGACUCCUACGGGAGGCAGCAGUGGGGAAUUUUGGACAAUGGGGGCAACCCUGAUCCAGCAAUGCCGCGUGAGUGAAGAAGGCCUUCGGGUUGUAAAGCUCUUUUGUCAGGGAAGAAACGGUGGUU